rnacentral:lncRNA from 1 species
AGGGUGGUGCAGCCGGAGUCUCUGCCGAUACGAGCACAGGAGGAUCCGCCGAUUCUAUACGAGCUCGAACUCAGCGACUGGUCUUCUUGGUGAUCCUCUUCUGGACUUGUUUCGAUCGGCCGGCAAUCACGUCUACGGACGGAGCAUCAUAGCCGAUGAGAGGAUAAGUGGUGUAUGGAUGAUGAUGCUCUAUUAUCCGACCACUCCGGCUGUGUGUUGGGGGCGUGCGAUUCUCG